rnacentral:lncRNA from 1 species
UGGCGAGGGGCGCGCCUCGCGGCCCCCGCUCCGACGCCUCGCGGCUUCGGGCCAGCCGCGUUCCUCUCUCGGCCGCGCUGGGGCACGACAGGGCAGCACCUACCGAGAUCCGCGACUCCAGCCGCGAAGGAGCCUUCGAAGACAAGCCAGCCCAGACGGCACCCUGGAACCUCCCGCGCUGAGGGUCUGAGGCGAGCCGAGGGUGGGAGGCGCCGACGCCGACUUGACAGCGCGUCCCAGCACCACGGGCUUGCUCGCUCGCUCUCAGGAAAAACUGAGGAAACAAGCUUGGUUCCCGGAGCCAGCGGGGACUGUGGAGACACAGCUAGGAUCCUCAACAGCUCGGAAAUCCUAUCACGUUGGUUCCCUGAGACUUGCAGGUAUAGGUUUGUGUGUCCGUGUGUGUGUCUGGGAGGGGUGUUUACUGAGACAGGUGGGGGUGUAGCUGCCCCGUGGCCCAGCCCAGAGGCCUAGGGGACAUACAAGUAACUAGAAGACACCGGUCCUUUUUGGCUUUGUGUGAGAAACAAAGCAAACCUUACCAGUUACUCCUUCCCUUGGGCAGCUUCGGAAUAUUUCCUAUGAGCAGGUGCCAGAGAAAAACACUUUUCCUGGCAAGUCAUCACAUUGCCUGGGACAAUGUCAGAUGCAGCUUUGGUUCUGGCUCUGCCCCUUUCCUUGCAUGGCAAGAAGGCACGUUUUGCUUGUGGCAGGACGCGGUUCAGUCUAAGUGCCACUAGCCCCCACAUCCUGGC